UAGCCGUAGGUGAACCUGCGGCUGGAUCAUUAUCGAGCUAAGCAAAAAACUCUAGUGCUUCGGCGCUAUAGUAGUGGCAGGAACUAUGUGCGGUGCGUUUGCUUGACGUACGACUGCACGCCACAGUGACCCAACGGCGAUCGGUUGGUGUCUGUCCGGUUCUGAGCAGCUGUUGCCUAAGUCCGCGGUUGCGUUGACGAACCGGGGCACGCAUACGUCCUGCUAUUCGGCGGGGUAGCGGAUGCGAGGACUCAAUGAGCUCCACGCCUGGGAGCUGCCAACCAACCUUCUUUUUUUCAACGAAUUUUUCUUAACUAAAGACAAAUAUCAGUCUUACCGGUGGAUCACUCGGUUCGU
rnacentral:misc_RNA from 1 species